rnacentral:tRNA from 1 species
GUUCUUGUAGUUAAACUAUAACGGUGGUUCUUCAAGUCACUAGUCCUGGUUAAAGUCCUGGCGAGAACU